UUCUGUAGGUGUCGAAACACUACUCGACACUUUUACGGUCAUCGAUCUGGGGUACGGAAGCAUACCAGGCAGUUGGCACAUUGUGAGCAAAAAAGAAUUGAGCAAUGAGGUGGAAAUUAAUAGUGGAGCCACAUUCUCUGAAUUCUCAGCCCUGUUGGAGACUUAUCAAAAGUAUCUGACGAAAGGUUUCUUUUGUCGCAUUUGGAUACUUUCCGCAUCUUUUUCCACCCACGGAGCCCGUUUUCGUCCACCAACCCUCGGGAUGUGACACCCGGAAGGCGGGGUAUAGGAGAUCGGGGGGCCGAAGACCCGGAUGCGUAUCCCCUGAUCCGUGAUACCUUCUUGGAGCGAUUGUUGACUUGAGUCCUUCCUCCAGGCUUCGCGAACCUUGUUGCUGCUUCGUCUUCUUCUUCUCCGUUUUCUUCAGGAAAGGAGACGAGGUGAUUAUGAGAUGAUUUGCGAAUUGCAUUAGAGGGAUUAAGUAGGAGGGUUGAAGAUUUGAAGUAACAGCGGUCUCUCUUUACCAUCACGAAGUUCGCAGCGUCAAGGCGUUGUCGUAAAGUCUCGUCACUCGCGAUCGCGAUCACAUUAGAAUCAGUGUGUUCAGCCCACUUUCGAAUCAUUGAGUCAUGUUGUGCUUUUUCGACGUUGGCUGCGUCUGACGAUUUCGUAACGCGCGCGAGAUUGUCACUCUGCGGUAGCUGCUAGCAUUGUGAUCGUUGCAUGCUUUUACUUCUCGAGCUUUAGUUUGGGGACAAGGUCGUAGUUCUGGAUUCAUUCUUUUUUGUACGGACGUAAGACUGUUGCAUGUUUUAGCAGAGAGGCAGUGUUGGUGAGUACAGGGAAGAAAGGGUGUGGUAGAAGGCUUUCGUGAGGAGAUUGAUUGAGUGGUUGACAGGAGAGGUUCGGAGUUUUUGGAGUUAUAGAGUUUGAAGCCAUGGCUGCCUCGAAUGUUGCGAUGUCUAAGAGUAUUCUGAGCUCGUUUUCAAGUUCAAAGAAAUUGGACUCGAUUCCGGGGAGCUUGCAGCAAGACAUGGCGGUGGAAUUGGCAGGGACAAUUAAGGUGCAUAGGAAUCGGACGUCGCGGGGCCAGAGGAUUCACGUUGCUGGUGUGCGCAAUAUAGCGUCUGAAUUGGUCGAGAUGGAGCCCGCUUCUCAAGACAGCCAGCUUUUAGUCUCACGGAAGAAGUAUUGUGAAGCAGUUUAUGCGCCCGUAAGGAGGAAGACCAGGACCGUGAACAUUGGUGGUGUGACUUUGGGCAGUGAGCACCCCAUUCGAGUGCAAACCAUGACCACCACAGACACGAAGGACGUCAAGGGCACUGUGGACCAGGUCAUGAGGAUAGCAGACAGAGGAUGUGAUAUUGUGCGGAUUACGGUUCAAGGGAGGAGGGAGGCUGAUGCAUGCUAUGAGAUCAAGAACACGCUUGUGCAAAAAGGGUACGACAUACCUUUGGUCGCAGAUAUUCAUUUUGCACCACCGAUCGCAAUGAAAGUUGCCGAUUGCUUUGACAAGAUUCGUAUCAAUCCUGGCAACUUUGCUGAUCGUCGCGCUCAGUUUGAGAAAUUGAGUUACACAGAAGCGGAUUAUCAAGAGGAAUUGCGGCACAUCGAAGAGGUGUUCACACCUCUAGUAGAAAAGUGCAAGAAGCUUGGAAGGGCUAUUCGCAUAGGCACAAACCAUGGGAGUCUGUCCGAUCGCAUCAUGAGCUAUUACGGUGACUCUCCAAGGGGCAUGGUAGAGUCGGCCUUUGAGUUUGCUCGUAUUUGCCGCAAACAUGAUUUCCAUAAUUUCUUAUUUUCUAUGAAAGCAAGCAAUCCGGUCGUAAUGGUUCAAGCAUAUCGGCUUCUAGUGUCUGAGAUGUAUGUGAACGACUGGGACUACCCAUUACAUCUUGGUGUUACUGAGGCUGGAGAGGGAGAAGAUGGUCGCAUGAAGUCAGCUAUAGGCAUUGGUGCUUUACUUCAGGAUGGUCUCGGCGACACUAUUCGUGUUUCUUUGACGGAAGCACCUGAAGAAGAGAUCGAUCCUUGCACAAAACUCGCAAAUCUUGGUAUGAAGAUUUCUGCAGAGCAGAAAGGAGUGCCUGAAUUUCAAGAAAAGCACCGGCGGUACUUUGACUUCCAACGGCGGACCGGUCAACUUCCACUACAGAAGGAGGAAGAGCUUGUAGAUUACAGAAACGUUUUGCACCGCGAUGGCUCUGUUUUGUUGUCAGUGACGUUGGACCAGUUGAAGAGUCCAGAAUUCUUAUACAAAAAUCUGGCCACAAAGUUGAUAAUUGGAAUGCCAUACAAGGACUUGGCUACUGUGGAUACGAUCCUCCUGAAUAAGCUGCCAGCUGUUGAAGACAUGGACUCGCGACUUGCAGUAAAGAGAUUGAUAGACAUUGGUAUAGGAGUGCUGGUUCCUCUGGUUGAGCAGCUCGCCAAACCUCUUCCACAUGCGAUGGUUCUUGCAACUCUUGAUGAAAUUUCUUCUGGAUUCCAUAAGGAGCUGCCCGCAGGCACCCGUCUUGCAGUGACGCUUCGUGGAGAUGAACCUGAGGAGCAGCUUGCAAUUCUGAAGGAUUUGGAUCUCAUCAUGUUAUUACAUUAUCUACCAGAAGGUGAUGAGAGGUCAAGUCGUGUACAUGCCUCGCGAAGGUUGUUUGAAUAUCUGCAAACUAAUACGCUUAACUUUCCAGUUAUUCAUCAUAUCAAAUUCCCUGCAAACAUUAACAGGGACGAAUUGGUUAUCAAGGCAGGCAGUGAAGUUGGGGCCAUGCUUGUGGAUGGCCUAGGAGAUGGGGUUUUAUUGGAGGCUUCUGAUUUGGACUUCGAUUUCCUGAGGAAAUCAUCAUUUGGUAUGCUUCAGGGAUGCCGGAUGCGGAACACAAAGACAGAAUACGUGUCCUGCCCAUCAUGCGGAAGGACGCUCUUCGAUCUUCAGGAUGUUAGCGCAGAAAUUAGAGAGAAAACUGACCACCUACCUGGUGUUUCGAUUGCCAUCAUGGGUUGCAUUGUGAAUGGUCCUGGAGAAAUGGCAGAUGCUGACUUUGGAUACGUCGGUGGCGCUCCCGGAAAAAUUGACCUCUAUGUUGGCAAAGAAGUGGUAAGGAGAGGGAUCGCCAUGGAGAAAGCUACUGAUGAACUCAUUCGGCUCAUCAAGGAGCAUGGUCGUUGGGUAGACCCGGAGCCAACAGAGGCUUGAGUUUAUUCGAGGUUGAUGGUGUAGCGAAGAUUUUACCAGUUUUAACCUAAACGUACAUUAUAGACAAACACUAAGCAUUUUUCAAAGAGAUCGCGGCUUUCGCUAUCACAACUGCGACCAUGUUUGUUCCGGCACUGCUGAUUGAGGUAUGUGCGCCGAUCUUGCCCCCUUUGGUUGCGGAUCGCAGCGGGUCUUUGGUCAGGAGCCUGUGAUGAGCCCCGGCCAGAUUAGUGGUUUUUCUACUCCCGUUAACUUUCACGCAAUUAGAAAGCCCCACAUUUCUUGAAACAUUACUUGCAGCUCAAGAUCAAGUAAAUCGAGGCUACUUCUAGAUCAAAUUUUGCAAUGUAUAUGUAACAUUGUCACCGUCGUUUCCGUUUGACAUGUAAGUAUUUCUUCGUACUAGGAAGCUAUCAUUGUCGCAAUAGCUUGGGUUCUAGUCUGGACCAUGGAGUUGGUCAUGUUACUUUUUCGCUCAAUCUUUAGACUAGCCGACACCUGAUAGCUUUCAGAUCGUCCUUUGUGACGUUUGAUCUGGUUGCCUCAGACCGAGCAGCACAACAUUUGCUUCAGACUCGACCUCCUUGCAUCGAAUUCCCAUCACGGUCCAGGUCAUACCUUGCAUAGAUUUUUUUUCUCACAUUUUUCUGGGCCUCUUCCGCCUCUCGCAUUCCCCCAUUUUGAGAUACAUGAAUUAUUGUUGGUUGGGAUCUGCGCAUUCUCUCGUCUUGUUCCAUUUUGAGAGUGCAGAGCAGAGAAACGGAUUGUAACGGACGACACUGGCAAGAUUAUCAGCAUUUGCGAAGGCACAGUGGUCUACCUUGUGAUGAUGAUGACAUUUGGAUCAAAUUUGCGACGAGGCAACCUGGGCUUUAGAAAUAUCGUUUAUGCCGCUUUCCUUUUGUUCACUUGCAUCAUCAUUUUGUUCCAAAUCGAAAGGUACAGUCGCAUGAUCAGCCAGGUGGCCAGGAAGCAAUCUUUAGUGUUUGCAAAUCUUCUCUUGCAAUCACAGACUGUUCACAACAUAUCUGAAGAACAGUACUUGUUACACAACCUUCAGAAUAAUGAUCAGCUUCCAAUGUCGACAAGCUUGCAGGAUGGGACUCAUCAAUCCAACUCAGCAAUGAAGCUGAGGAGAGAUCACACUGCCUUGAACGAUAUUAAGACUCAUGGAGCUCGACACUUCAGCGGCAUACCGCAUGGCAAAAGAUCUAGAGACGCAAGAAGACAUCGAAAAGCCAGGACAACGACAUUUUGAACCCCUAACUGAGUCGCGUUACUUGUGAUAGUUCUAAUAUGUUUCAGAAAGCGAAUUUGAGCACACUGAAUUUUAGCAGAACCUUAUUGUAGAACAGGUAUUUUAUUUCCAGAGUGCUAGCAUGACCUUGACUCUUCCCUCAGUGCAUUUAGUGAUCGUUCCAUUGUUUAUCAUCUGGAUUGGAUUAGGAAAUGUACAACCUGAUUGGCCUGUUUUUCAGCGGGUUUGCAGAGGGAUUGAAUAUGCACACA